rnacentral:rRNA from 1 species
GAGCGGCGGACGGGUGAGUAAUGCCUGGGAAUUUGCCCAGUUGUGGGGGAUAACAGUUGGAAACGACUGCUAAUACCGCAUAAACCCUACGGGGAAAAGGGGAGGCUCUUCGGACUUCUCGCAAUUGGAUAAGCCCAGGUGGGAUUAGCUAGAUGGUGAGGUAAAGGCUCACCAUGGCGACGAUCCCUAGCUGUUCUGAGAGGAUGAUCAGCCACACUGGGACUGAGACACGGCCCAGACUCCUACGGGAGGCAGCAGUGGGGAAUAUUGCACAAUGGGGGAAACCCUGAUGCAGCCAUGCCGCGUGUGUGAAGAAGGCCCUAGGGUUGUAAAGCACUUUCAGUCAGGAGGAAAGAUUAGUAGUUAAUACCUGCUAGCUGUGACGUUACUGACAGAAGAAGGACCGGCUAACUCCGUGCCAGCAGCCGCGGUAAUACGGAGGGUCCGAGCGUUAAUCGGAAUUACUGGGCGUAAAGCGUGCGCAGGCGGUUUGUUAAGUCAGAUGUGAAAGCCCCGGGCUCAACCUGGGAACAGCUUUUGAAACUGACAAACUAGAGUCUUGUAGAGGGGGGUAAAAUUUUCGGGUGUAGC